CCUCAAAGAUCAAUUUUGUCCUCAUAAUACACAACAUUUUAAAGUUUGUGUUUGUGUUAAACCGUUUGUCCUCCUUAAUCACUUUUGUCCUCAUAAUACUCAACAUUUUAAAGUUUGUGUUUGUGUUAAACCAUUUGUCCUCAAAGAUCACUUUUAUCCUCAUAAUAUGCAACAUUUUAAUAUUUGUUUUUGUGUUAAACCGUUUGUCCUCAAAGAUCACUUUUGUCCUCAUAAAACACAACAUUUUAAAAUCUGUGUUUGUGUAAAACCGUUUGUCCUCCUUAAUCACUUUUGUCCUCAUAAUACACAACAUUUUAAUGUUUGUGUUUGUGUUAAACCGUUUGUCCUCAAAGAUCGCUUUUGUCCUCAUAAAACACAACAUUUGAAUGUUUGUGUUUGUGUUAAACCGUUUGUCCUCAAAGAUCACUAUUGUCCUCAUAAUACACAACAUUUUAAAGUUUGUGUUCGUGUUAAACCGUUUGACCUCAAAGAUCACUUUUGUCCUCAUAAUACACAACAUUUUAAUGUUUGUGUUUGUGUUAAAUCGUUUGUCCUCAAAGAUCACUUUUAUCCUCAAUAUACACAACAUUUUAAAGUUUGUGUUUGUGUUAAACCGUUUGUCCUCAAUGACCACUUUUGUCCUCAUAAUACACAACAUUUUAAUGUUUGUGUUUGUGUUAAACCGUUUGUCCUCAAAGAUCACUUUUGUCCUCAUAAUACACAACAUUUUAAUGUUUGUGUUUGUGUUAAACCGUUUGUCCUCCUAAAUCACUUUUGUCCUCAUAAUACACAACAUUUUAAUGUUUGUGUUAAACCGUUUGUCCUCAAAGAUCACUUUUGUCCUCAUAAAACACAACAUUUUAAUGUUUGUGUUUGUGUUAAACCGUUUGUCCUCAAAGAUCACUUUUGUCCUCCUAAUACACAACAUUUUAAUGUUUGUGUUUGUGUUAAACCGUUUGUCCUCAAAGAUCACUUUUGUCCUCCUAAUACACAACAUUUUAAAGUUUGUGUUUGUGUUAAACCGUUUGUCCUCAAUCACUUUUGUCCUCAUAAUAAACAACAUUUUAAUGUUUGUGUUAAACCGUUUGUCCUCCUCAAAUCACUUUUGUCCUCAUAAUACACAUUUUAAUGUUUGUGUUUGUGUUAAACCGUUUGUGUGUGUGUGUGUGUCUUACCUCUCUCCAGUGAAUCUCCGAAGAUCUGUGUGUGUGUGUGUGUGUGUCUUACCUCUCUCCAGCGAUUCUCCGAAGAUCCGUGUGUGUGUGUGUGUGUGUGUGUGUCUUACCUCUCUCCAGCGAUUCUCCGAAGAUCCGUGUGUGUGUGUGUGUGUGUGUGCCUUACCUCUCUCCAGCGAUUCUCCAAAGAUCUGUGUGUGUGUGUGUGUGUGUGUGUGUGUGUCUUACCUCUCUCCAGCGAUUCUCCAAAGAUCCGUGUGUGUGUGUGUGUAUGUCUUACCUCUCUCCAGCGAUUCUCCGAAGAUCCGUGUGUGUGUGUCUUACCUCUCUCCAGCGAUUCUCCGAAGAUCCGUGUGUGUGUGUGUGUGUGUGUCUUACCUCUCUCCAGCGAUUCUCCGAAGAUCCGUGUGUGUGUGUGUGUGUGUGUGUCUUACCUCUCUCCAGCGAUUCUCCGAAGGUGUGUGUGUGUGUGUCUUACCUCUCUCCAGCGAUUCUCCGAAGAUCCGUGGGCAUGUUUUUGUGUCAUAUCAGGACACAACUCUGUAUAAUGACAUGGCUAUGACACAGGCAUUACAAGGAGAGGGUGACUUAUGAGGACAUAACCCAUGUCUACAUUUUUAAAACACUUAUAAAUCAUACAGAAUGAGUUUUUUUGAGAAAGUAAAAAUGCACAAAGUUUCCUGUGAGGGUUAGGGUUAGGUGUAGGGUUGGUGUAGGGCCAUAGAAUAUACAGUUUGUACAGUAUAAAAACCAUUACGUCUAUGGGAUGUCCCCACUUUUCACAAAAACAAACGUGUGUGUGUGUGUGUGUGUGUGUGUCUUACCUCUCUCCAGCGAUUCUCCGAAGAUCCAGGUGUGUGUGUGUGUGUGUGUGUGUGUGUCAUUCACCAGAGUACACAUCAGUAAACUGAGGGCCACCUUGACAAUUUAUGACUUUUUUUUACGUCCUCAUUUGUUUGACCAUAUAAUAGCAUUUAGCAUGCACUAAAAUGGUGUUUGGCCUUAAAAUCUCAAUUAUCCCAAAAAUGCACUUUUACGUGAUUAAGUGUCUAUAGUGUGUGUAAUGUUGUGUAAUGUUGCAUGAGCAGUUUGAUACGGGGAGACGGGUUCAUGCUUAAAUAAUCAAAAGUGCGGACCUUUUGCCAUUAAAGACUGUAGUUAAUACUUUGCCCAUAAUAUCCCAGUGAAAGAAAAAAAAUUGUUAUCUAGUUAUGCUAAUAAUAACUAAGGAUCAGAAAGAAAUGUUUAAUCUUAAUUACAAAC
ensembl:lncRNA